rfam:Pantoea gaviniae strain LMG 25382 Contig0086_, whole genome shotgun sequence.
AGUGGCUCAUUCACCUGUUUAUGUCAGCCCUGCUAACGCGGUCAAGCGCUCCAUAAAAAACCAGAAUGACGCACAAAACGGUGCCUGCCGUCCACGUACCGAUAACUGCCGCUUGCGGCUUUAUCAAACACCGGGCGCAACGUUGAGUUAGGCACCACCUA